rnacentral:misc_RNA from 1 species
GUUUUUUUUUUUCUUUCACUUUAUCUUGUUCUUUACCUGUGUUUCUCUUUCUGCUACUCUCUUCCUUCCUCUUAGUGGUGGAUCUUAAAUUACGAUGGAGUACGGCGGUGGUCGCAAUAGAGGCAGGCCUGAGGCUGCUUUGAAUGGCAAUGUUGGCCCUAAGAAAACCCAACAAGGGAAAAAAAGCAUUAACUUCAUCAGGAGGAGGAGAUCAUGCGCGCAUGAGGGAAAAUCAAGUGUGAAUUCUCUAGCAAUGCGUUGAGGAGGAGGUAUCGCGCC